rnacentral:lncRNA from 1 species
CGGCCAGCGCCGUAGCCAGGAGGCGCAUGGCCCGCGGGGCGCCGCGUCCCGUCCGUCCCCCUCUGCCGAGCUGCUUCCCUCCUCUCCUCCCCGGCCUCUCGCCUCCUCCCCGCCCGGUCCUCCCUUCUCCCCUUGCUUUUCAUCUCCUCCCCUUUCUCCUCCUUUUUUUCUUUUUUUUUUUUUUUUUUUUUUCCCGCUUUCUUCCUUCCCUCCCUACUCCUUCGCGUUGCCCAGCGUCCUGCCCCCCUUUAACUCCGCUUCUUCUCUCCCUGCCGUUUCUGUGCGCACCAUGCCUGUAGGGUGGCAUUAGGGCUAGACAGGGAUGCUCCAUCUCUAUCUUCCGCGAUCCUCUCUGCGCACACGCACCCCUUGCCCAAAGGACGCGGGUCUGUGUCGAUGGGAAAUGAGAAAUUCCCUCCCUCCCUGAGUACAGAAAACCUCUGAGCAGGGAGAGACUUUUGUGUCCAUUCAGCAAACACUUCUCACAAGAGAGUGACAGGUCUGGAUUAUGCACAGGGUGAUCAGCAGACUUGAGGAAGCAGAAGAAGUUUUUAAAAUUUAUACUGCCUGUGGAGCAACUUCAUCAGGGAUCAGGGAUCAUUUCAGAAUGAAUGAUACUGAUGUAUCUGGGAAGGAUCUGAGGUUUUGUGACUGUUGUGCAGCCAUGCUUUCAUGGAGAAGUGAAAUCCUUACUAUUGAUGCUGUAAUGUAUUUUUCAUUUUCUUUCUUCAAAUCUGAGCUCAUUUCACUUUGGUACAGAAAACUUGCUUUUGUUAUUACUUUUAUGGUUAUGUUUGGGACUCACAAAAGCACAGGGGAUUUAGUAUGUUUUUCUUGGCUUUUGCUUCAAGUUUGAUCAUCCCAGUUCUCAGGGCACUGCUAAUCCUGAGAAAAAAUGAGACCUGUAGGUGUUUUGCAAAGGUGCUUAGAGGCUCUGUCACAUAUACUUUGCUCUGUCACAUAUACUUCCUGCAUAGUUAGGUGUGUGCAAGAGUUGAAGAGUCUUACAUGAUUGUCAUAUACAAAGACACAGCUCCAGCUUCAUAUAGUUGUAUAUAGCAGUGUCAGUUUCAUCAAGUGGCAGUGUCAUUUGGGAAUGAUUAAAAAGUCCAUCGCUGCUCCAGUUCUGUUCUCCAGAAAUAUUAAAAUAUCAAUUUUAGCUGGCCAUAUUUCUGGCAGUCGGUGAACAAAUGUCAUGAUAAGAUGGAUUUCAAAGGCUUUUCAGUGCAUUGGUAUUUUCUGGCUAUGCAUUCUCAUUAGGCACCUGUCCUAGUUAGAACAUUACUGACAGGACUGCAAGCUACCCCUGUGGAGCUGCUGAUCCCACUCUGUUCAGCUCAGAAAGAGCACAGACUCCAGAACCACACAGUCAGUGAGAGCUGACCUGACAAUGCACUGUGAUAUCGCCUGUUCUGGCUUGCCUUCCUCCCCAAAUAAGUACUGCACACAGGUUUGGGGAAGGACAAGUCUCUGAAAGACUGCAGGACAUCAUUUAUCUCUGAAGUCACAUGUUGUAAUUCAGUCUAUGCUUUCUACACAACCUGUGCUGGCACUGUAUUUUAUGGACUUUGUGUCCAUAAUUUGUCUCCGGACCUUCUUUCUAAGCAACUGACUGAUCUAAGGGUGACUCUACUGAAACAAAUCAAUGAUUCUUCUGGUUCAGUGCCCUUUUUCUGACUGUAGCUGGAAUAAACAAAUACUUAGGGGCA